UUGAUGACCACCUUUGGCGAAGGCUUUACCAGAACACGUCCGACGUGAGGGAUGAAAACUGGGGAGCAAACCGGAUUAAAUACCCGGGUAGUCCCAGCUGUAAACUAUGCAAACUCGGUGAUGCAUUGGCUUGUAGCCAGUGCAGUGCCGCAGGGAAGCCGUUAAGUUUGCCGCCUGGGAAGUACGUACGCAAGUAUGUAACUUAAAGGAAUUGGCGGGGGAGCACCACAAGGGGUGAAGCCUGCGGUUCAAUUGGAGCCAACGCCAGAAAUCUUACCCGGAGAGACAGCAGAAUGAAGGUCAAGCUGAAGACUUUACCAGACAAGCUGAGAGGUGGUGCAUGGCCGUCGCCAGCUCGUGCCGUGAGAUGUCCUGUUAAGUCAGGUAACGAGCGAGAUCCCUGCCUCUAGUUGCCACCAUUACUCUCAGGAGUAGUGGGGCGAAUUAGCGGGACCGCCGCAGUUAAUGCGGAGGAAGGAAGGGGCCACGGCAGGUCAGUAUGCCCCGAAACUCUGGGGCCACACGCGGGCUGCAAUGGUAGUGACAAUGAGUUCCUAAACCGAAAGGUGGAGGUAAUCUUCAAACGCUACCACAGUUAUGAUUGAGGGCUGCAACUCGCCCUCAUGAAUAUGGAAUCCCUAGUAACUGCGUGUCAUUAUCGCGCGGUGAAUACGUCCCUGCUCCUUGCACACACCGCCCGUCGUUUCAUUGAAGUUUGCUUUUAAUGAGGUGACGUCUUAUUGGCGUUAUCGAAUUGAG
rnacentral:rRNA from 1 species